ACGCGUGGGAAUCUGCCCCUGGGUUCGGGAUAACAGUUGGAAACGACUGCUAAUACCGGAUGAUGACUUCGGUCCAAAGAUUUAUUGCCCAGGGAUGAGCCCGCGUAGGAUUAGCUAGUUGGUGAGGUAAAGGCUCACCAAGGCGACGAUCCUUAGCUGGUCUGAGAGGAUGAUCAGCCACACUAGGACUGAGACACGGCCCAGACUCCUACGGGAGGCAGCAGUGGGGAAUAUUGGACAAUGGGCGAAAGCCUGAUCCAGCAAUGCCGCGUGAGUGAUGAAGGCCUUAGGGUUGUAAAGCUCUUUUACCCGGGAAGAUAAUGACUGUACCGGGAGAAUAAGCCCCGGCUAACUCCGUGCCAGCAGCCGCGGUAAUACGGAGGGGGCUAGCGUUGUUCGGAAUUACUGGGCGUAAAGCGCGCGUAGGCGGCUUUGUAAGUUAGAGGUGAAAGCCCGGAGCUCAACUCCGGAACUGCCUUUAAGAC
rnacentral:rRNA from 1 species